GCAAGUCGAGGGGUAACGGAAGUAGCUUGCUACUAGACGACGACCGGCGCACGGGUGAGUAACGCGUAUGUAAUCUGCCUUGUACAGAGGGAUAGCCCAGAGAAAUUUGGAUUAAUACCUCAUAGUAUUACUGAAUCGCAUGAUUUGGUAAUUAAAGCUCCGGCGGUACAAGAUGAACAUGCGUGACAUUAGCUAGUUGGUAAGGUAACGGCUUACCAAGGCUACGAUGUCUAGGGGUUCUGAGAGGAUGAUCCCCCACACUGGUACUGAGACACGGACCAGACUCCUACGGGAGGCAGCAGUGAGGAAUAUUGGUCAAUGGACGCAAGUCUGAACCAGCCAUCCCGCGUGAAGGAUGACUGCCCUAUGGGUUGUAAACUUCUUUUAUAUGCAAAUAAACCUACUUUCGUGAAAGUAGCUGAAGGUAGCAUAUGAAUAAACACCGGCUAACUCCGUGCCAGCAGCCGCGGUAAUACGGAGGGUGUAAGCGUUAUCCGGAUUUAUUGGGUUUAAAGGGUACGUAGGCGGUAAUAUAAGUCAGUGGUGAAAUCCUGCAGCUCAACUGUAGAACUGGCAUUGAAACUGUAUUACUUGA
rnacentral:rRNA from 1 species